GCGUUGCUCGGAAUUACUGGGCGUAAGGGGCGCGUAGGCGGACAGUUUAGUCAGAGGUGAAAGCCCGGGGCUCAACUCCGGAAUUGCCUUUAAGACUGCAUCGCUAGAAUUGUGGAGAGGUAAGUGGAAUUCCGAGUGUAGAGGUGAAAUUCGUAGAUAUUCGGAAGAACACCAGUGGCGAAGGCGACUUACUGGACACAUAUUGACGCUGAGGUGCGAAAGCGUGGGGAGCAAACAGG
rnacentral:rRNA from 1 species